CUUUGCAAAAUGUCCAACAAAGAAUCUUGUGAAAAAAAGGAGACGUCUUGGAGAAAAGGCACCACCCUAUCAUCCAAUAUUGAAGAUAAGAGAGAGAGAAAAACAUCAGUAAGUUCUCCUUGUUCAACUUGCUCUAUAAGAUCAGUGUCAUCAGAGAAGAGAAAACUGAAAUCAGAUCCUGCAGAUAUUCUGUACUGUAAUAUGAAAAGAAGACAAGAACUGAAAAGACUGAAUGUAGAAACUGACCCUCCAAGAAAGAGACCAAAAAUUGAUUCUUCAUCCCAAGGACUUGUUACACUCCAGGAAACAUCAUAUUCAGAUAAUAAUCAGAUUAUUACACAGAGUCCUUCUUCAAAUGAAACUAAGAAAGAUAUAAGUAAAUGUGUAGAUUUUCAAGUUAAAGAUAUUAAAUUGGCAAAUGUUAAGAGUAAGCUGGACCAUGGAAUUAAAAACUUUAGCUGUCCUAAGGUGGCCAAAGAUGUGAAACCAAAAGCUGAAGGCCAGGCAAGUGAAAAAAAAUGGCCUCAUUUACUUGCUCAGAGGGAGAAGAUGAAGGAAUUCAAGAAAGAAAGGUACAAUAAAUUUAGAGACAGUUCUGAAAAAUGUGCUUCGGAGAAAUGCAAGAGAAUCCAACUUUCUCAGGAUUGUAAUUCCAGCAAGAUAAUUAAGGAACCCUUUGAAUCUAGAAGGAGAAGGAUUAAUUUCAAAAUCCCGGUAAAAUCCCGCAAUACCCUCCAGAAUCUUGUACAAGAAAAUGUCUUCAGUUUAGGUUCUAACAAGUUAAAGACUAAACAGGAGAAAAAAGAAUGCCCAGAAGCCUCCCAGUUUUCAUUAAAGUUUACAAGGCACAGAAGUGAAUAUUUAUUUUCAGAUUCCACAUAUAAGCAGACUGUUCAUGAGUGGGAAGGAGAAUAUCAUGAGCAUCAAGAUAUUAAUGAUUUAAGUUCUGGUGAAAACCUAACCCAGAGUUUUGAAGCACCAUGUUCUUCAGUGUCAGUUGAAAGUAUUCAAGAUGCAGAUCAAGAGAUGCAGAUAGUAGAAGAGCUUCAUGCUGCUCGUGUGGGAAAAAGUGUGGAUUUACCUGAGGUUCCACCUUCAGGAGAGUUAAUGAGUAUGGAAAUUGACGUGGUAGAACAUGAUAUACAUUCCUCUGCUGCAAAUGCUGCUUCAGACAAAAAGCUUCUAAUUGUUAUUGACACAAAUAUUCUAAUGAAUCAUCUCAAAUUUGUUAGGCUUUUGAAGACAAGAGAAAUCCCAGGCUUUGAGAGACUUGUGUUAAUAAUUCCCUGGGUGGUUGUACAAGAGCUGGAUCGUAUGAAGGCAGGAAAAUUACUGAAACAUGCCCAGCACAAAGCUAUACCUGCAGUUCAUUUCAUCAAUGACAGUCUCAGAAAUCAAGAUAGAAAGCUAUGGGGUCAGUCAAUACAACUUGCAUCUCAAAAACUUUUAUGCAUUACGAUGAGGAUAGGAUUUGAAAUCUGA
rnacentral:lncRNA from 1 species